rnacentral:rRNA from 1 species
GAUGAACGCUGGCGGCGUGCCUAAUACAUGCAAGUCGAGCGAACAGACGAGGAGCUUGCUCCUCUGACGUUAGCGGCGGACGGGUGAGUAACACGUGGAUAACCUACCUAUAAGACUGGGAUAACUUCGGGAAACCGGAGCUAAUACCGGAGAAUAUAUUGAACCGCAUGGUUCAAUAGUGAAAGACGGCUUUGCUGUCACUUAUAGAGGGAUCCGCGCCGCAUUAGCUAGUUGGUCAGGUAACGGCUUACCAAGGCAACGAUGCGUAGCCGACCUGAGAGAGUGAUCGGCCACACUGGAACUGGGACAGCGUCCAGACGCCUACGGGAGGCAGCAGUAGGGAAUCGUCCGCAAUGGGCGAAAGCUUGACGGAGCAGCGCGGCGUGAGUGAUGAAGGUCUUCGGUGCGUGAAGCUCUGUUAUGGGGUAAGAACAAAUGUGUAAGUAACUAUGCACGUCUUGACGGUACCUAAUCAGAAAGCCACGGCUAACUACGUG